GAUGAACGCUGGCGGCGUGCUUAACACAUGCAAGUCGAACGAAGCACUUCUUCUGAUUUCCUUCGGGACUGAGUAUUUUGUGACUGAGUGGCGGACGGGUGAGUAACUCGUGGGUAACCUGCCUUGUACAGGGGGAUAACAGUAGGAAACGGCUGCUAAUACCGCAUAAGCGCAGAGCAUCGCAUGAUGCAGUGGGGAAAACUCCGGUGGUAUAAGAUGGACCCGCGUUGGAUUAGCUAGGUGGUGAGGUAACGGCCAACCAAGGCGACGAGCCAUAGCCGAGAGGGGAACGGGACCGGUCACAUUGGGACUGCGACACGGACCAAUAUCGUACGGGACGGAGCAGUAGGGAGCAUUACACAAUGAGCGAAAGCGUAACGCAGCGACGUGGGGUAAGCGGAGAAGUAUGUCGGUAUGUAAAGCUGUAUCAGCAGAGAAGAUAAUGACGGUACCUGACUAAGAAGCACCGGCUAAAUACGUG
rnacentral:rRNA from 1 species